rnacentral:rRNA from 1 species
CAGUCGCCACGGUAAUACGAAGGGUGCAAGCGUUAAUCGGAAUUACUGGGCGUAAAGCGUGCGUAGGCGGUGAGUUAAGUCUGCUGUGAAAUCCCCGGGCUCAACCUGGGAAUGGCAGUGGAUACUGGCUCGCUAGAGUGUGUCAGAGGAUGGUGGAAUUCCCGGUAUAGCGGUGAAAUGCGUAGAGAUCGGGAGGAACAUCAGUGGCGAAGGCGGCCAUCUGGGACAACACUGACGCUGAGGCACGAAAGCGUGGGGAGCAAACAGGAUUAGAUACCCCCGUAGUCCCUGUCUCUUAUAC